ACUGCUCAGCUGAACCCGAAGCUUGAUGAAGAAGGCCGUCAAUAUUUCAACAAAAACUAACAGAAUAUGGAUCAGAUUCGGACAACGACUUCUUAAGACAUUCACACAACAGGCUAAACAAUUCAAAGAGGGAUCUCUGGAUGAUCGAGCAGCAAGUCCAGCAUUAUGUGGGAAAGAUACUACAGGUGUACACAGAAAAGGCCAUGUUCUUGUACAAGACACGGUUGGAGUUCAUAAAAGAUUAAGCUGCCUCGUGCUAUACAGACUUGGAUAAAAACAAGCUGUCCAAUGAAUGGUGACUACUCAAGAGGAGCCAGAAAGUCAACUAAAGCCAGGGUAUUUUGGGAGUUGAUAUGGCCGGGGAAGGGGGGAGGGGGGGUUUCCAGGGCCCCCCCCCUUCCUUGAGAUCUUGACCGCACAAUCGCGUCUAACAUUGGCACAUGGGUUGUCUAGGGCAUAAUUUACAAAAUUAAAUUGUAAAUUAUUUCACGCAAAUUGUUAGUAAGUGAUAAUACUAAUUUAUGCGUAAUUAGAAUACAAAAUCAUACUUUUUCCUCUAUUGCAUUGACUUUGUACACAAAAUCACGUUUUUGAGCAAUUUUUGGUAUGACAUGUACUUACAUAAUGUCACGUUAUUACAGAACCACGUACCGGGUGACACAAGAUUGGUCUCAAAAGAUGCACAAGACUAGAAAGAGGCAUGUUUUAAAAAAAUUGUGCGACAGCAUGGUCGCAAAAUUUUUGGAAGGGGGGGAGGGUCAAAUUGGUCCAAUUUAACUAAGGGUUAAUAACUGGGAGGCUGUUAGCUGCCUUUUUACUUUCAAGUCUUGCACAUCUUUUGAGACCAAAUUUGUGAUGCCUGGGUACGCUGUUCCGAAAUUUCGCAACAUUUUUAUGUAUUAAUCCAACACAAAUACUGUUUCUUGCUAAAAAUUCACAAUUAGUAUACCAGUAAUAUACAUUUAUCAAGUCAAAUUAUUUAAUUACAUUUAUAAUCAUAAAAGCUUUGAUAAAGUAAAAAAAACAACAAAGAGUUGUAUGUAGGCCUGGGACUUUCGGGUUUUUUCUCUUCGGGUACCCGUGGUAAUUUUUGGGUGGGUACCUGAAAAUCAUGUCACUUGAAAUAUGACUGGUGGAAAAACCCCAUAGGUGACGUCAUCAAGCCAAUGCGAUGCAAGCCAAUUUAUGAAUGAAAAUAUAGUAAGCAUGCGCAUUGCAAGCCUCCCGUGCCCCACGCAGUAUUCCAUCGAAACAAGUUUCAAUACUCUGUCACCUCGUACCAAAAUCGACCUAGAAUUCCACUUUCCUAUAUAUCAUAUGAAUUAUAAAAGGUUUUCUCACCGAUACUGCACAGGUAAGCAAAUUUUUAUUCUUGCUUUUCCGUCAAAAUCUUACGAAGUAGCAUCGAUAUUACAUCGUGUUCGUGAGUUUGUAUCGCUACGUGAACAAAGUCAAUUGAUUUCCGGGUUUCGGAGCGUCAAAUGCGCCAGCCAAUCACGAUCGUGUUCCCAUUUUCGGUUUAUGAUGAACUAAAAAUGGUAACAAGAACGUGAUUGGCUGGUGCUUCGUAGGUCGAUUUUGGUAUGAGGUGACAGAGUAUUGCAGACUUGUUUUGACGUAAUACUGCGUGGGGCUGAGGCUUGCAAUGCGCAUGCUUACUAUAUUUUCAUUCAUAAAUUGGUUUGCGUCGCAGUGGCUGGAUGACGUCACUGCACUGCAAAAGAAACAUGGCGAUGAUUGAACGAUCUCGGUCACAUCAUCAUCACUUGAAAACUUGUAUAUUUAUGGAUAUUUAGAGGGUAAUUGGUGAAAUUCAAAAUGAGGCUUGUGUACUUUUGUAAUGAGUUACAAUCAUGUCUUACACUACGCAAUACAAAUCAAAUACAUGUACAUUAUACUGGUGAGCAAUUUUCGGGUAUCGGGUAUUGAUUUUUCUACUCGGGUACCCGGGUUUUAGUCCCAGCCCUAGUUGUAUGAAAAUUUUCAAAAAUAAUGAAAGGUAAAAGAAAACAAGAUUACAAUGUCCAUUGCAAGGGGGCUAGUCUAGCUAUUCAGGAUAAUUGGGAUUUUAUUCAGUUUUUAAUUGACAUAACAUUAUGACAAGAUCCCUCCAUUUAGUGUAUAAACAGCACAUGGCCAUGAUUGAAAUUCAUAUAACAUUAAAGUAUGCAAACCAGGCAGCUACAUGUACAUGUAGGACUCACUGCUUGUCAAUUCUAUUGUCUGCCAGGGUCAAGUGACAUACAGUGCACAUGUAUAACAUGUGUGAAAGUACAUAAGAAAAUCAGCUUUUUAUUUUUGUACUGUAACAUUGGGUGAACUGGUGAUCACUUUGGAUAUGAUGCUCUUUAUAUUGGUUUAUUUUAUGUAUAUGAAUUUUUGGAUAAUCAUUAAGAAUUAAAGCCAUUUACUUAAUAUAUGGAAGCAUAAGCCCAUCAAAGAACAGAAUUAUGUCAUGUACAGCUAAUUCAUUUUGCGUGAUAUUACAAUUGUAAUUGUUUACUUGAGCAAGUAAUUUGAAUUGCUGCAUGACCUAAACAAUGACAUGUUCCAAUUCGAAUAGUAACAUAAGGUUCAUAAGGUUCAUAAGGUAGUAUUUAUUGUCCAGAUAAAUAAAUAAGUGGAAAUUUGCAUUUUUACAUGGUAUUGAACAUACAUAGCAUAGCAUAGAAAAUGAACAUAUUUACAGAAAAUCAAACAAUCACAUAUAGUCAAUUAUGAUAUACACGUGCAAAUGCUACCCCCUGGGUAGCAUUUGAAAAAAAUACUGUUAUUGACAUUAAAAUUAAGAUUGAAAUGGAAAUCUGAACUGAAAGUUAGAUAUCGGAAAUUGAAUUGAAAUUACAUUAGA